AUUGAACGCUGGCGGCAGGCCUAACACAUGCAAGUCGAGCGAGCGGCGGACGGGUGAGUAAUGUAUGGGGACUGCCCGAUAGAGGGGGAUAAAUACUGGAAACGGUGGCUAAUACCGCAUACUAUCCGAUAACCCAUAUGGGAUUAGCUAGUAGGUGGGGGAAGGGCUCACCGAGGCGACGAUCUCUAGCUGGUCGGAGAGGAUGAUCAGCAACACUGGACUGGAGACACGGCCCAGACUCCUACGGAGGAAGCAGUGGGGAAUAUUGGACAAUGGGCGCAAUCUGGAUGCAGCCAUGCGGCGUGAAUGAAGAAGGCCUUCGGGUUGUAAAGUUCUUUCGGUGGGGAGGCGUUAACUACAGAAGAAGCAACGGCUAACUCCGUGCCAGCAGCCGCGGUAAUUC
rnacentral:rRNA from 1 species